GCGGCGCUGUCGGAGGGGGCGAGCGCCGGGAGCCGCCGGGUGCACUGAGCCCGCAGAUCCCCCGGCACAGAGCGGGCAUCCAGGCGGGAAGGCGCAGGGGUCCGGCCCGCAUGGGUUCCCCCGCCCCAGGAUCGCCGGCAGUGGUGCCUGACAGGUCCGGCGGGGGAGGGUGCUCAGUUUGAGCUGGAUCCAGAUGUCACACCUGGAUUUGCUGACCUGUUGUCGACCUGUUCACUCGGGAGCCAUCCCAGCCCCACCAACUCCCGUGCUGAUCCUAAAUGGGAAUGAGAGAUUGAUGCUGUGUUUGGAAUUGGCCAAACCGUCUCCCAAGCCAGCAAUAGCUAGAGAACCGUAUGGAAGCUGUACUUACAACAUCAACUUGUGUCAGGAGCUUACAAUAUGCAGAUCUGGGAAGUGGAAACCCUACACAUGAGUCAACUGGCAGGCG